CCGUGGCAUGUGCUUCCCCCCAACCUUUCACCAAGGACCUACCAUGUGCCAAAGACUAAGCACUGGGGAUAGAAGGUGAACGAGACCGGUGUGGCCCCCCGCCCUGCUCUUGGACCUGCCAAUCUCCAGGGUUUGUUUUCUUGAGACUCCUGACGCUGCCUGGCCCGAGUCAGCACUAGGGAUUCCUGAUCUCUGCAUAUCCCUUCCCAGCCAUCCAAGACAGCAAGAGCUGUUGCUUCUCUUCUCAAAUUUCUCCCUUGGCUUCUUGAUUGAGAGUUUCAUCCCAGCUAUGGUUUAAAAAACAAACAGCAAACAAACAAACAAACUAACCACACACUCAAACAAACCUCAGACUGCACAAUGGAAGCACUGCCUGGAAUCAUAAAGAUCAUUUGUUCAAUGUCCCUUUUUCUCACUGCCAGGCCAGUGCUCUCGUCUGCACCAUGGAACCCAUUAUGACUUGAACCUUUCCAGAUUGAUUCCCCAUAAACCUAAUGAAGACAUUGGAAAGGUGAGCUGAGCUUACUGAACAAAGUAACGGAGAGCCUCUCGCACCACGCUGGACUCGUUUCCUGGAAAUUUGUAAAUACCAGACCACAGAGCUUGACUAAUGACUAUUGGACAUGGUGCCCACUGUGUGUGUUCAGAGAAUUGGCUUGUGUGGGAAGAACCCAAAUGUCUGGUCCUCGUGCCAAUUUGUCUUUGGACCUAAAAAUCACCAGAAAAGGGAGGCAAAGGAAAAUGACCAUGAUCCAGAUGGAGAUGGUAAGGCAGGACUGAUGACGGAGUGAGCCAAAAGUUGCCAAAUUAAGGGGAAAUUUAGGCGAUCUGCAAAGAAUCAUGAGUUUUCUCUUCCCCAGAUUGAGGCAGGAAUGGAGAAAACACUGGCUUUUGAGUUGAAAGCCCCAGACACAAGUUCCAGCUCAGCCCCAGACUACUCUGAGCUGACUUGUCCUCAGUAAAAUGCACAAAUACUUGUGAAUGGAUGCUCCAAUAACCUCAGAA
rnacentral:lncRNA from 10 species